UACCAGCACCCCGAGUGGUCGGGACGAUUAUUGGGCCUAAAGCAUCCGUAGCCGGUACUGCAAGUCUUCCGUUAAAUCCACCUGCUCAACAGUUGGGCUGCGGAGGAUACUACAGCGCUAGGAGGCGGGAGAGGCAAGCGGUACUCAUUGGGUAGGGGUAAAAUCCGCUGAUCCAUUGAAGACCACCAGUGGCGAAGGCGG
rnacentral:rRNA from 1 species